AGGGGUGCAGGGUAGCCUGCUGGGUGGAUCAGUGGUGAAUGGGUGAGUAACACGUGAGUAACCUGCCCCUGACUCUGGGAUAAGCCUUGGAAACGAGGUCUAAUACCGGAUACGAGACGCUCGGGCAUCCGAAGUGUCUGGAAAGAUUUAUCGGUCAGGGAUGGACUCGCGGCCUAUCAGCUUGUUGGUGGGGUAGUGGCCCACCAAGGCGACGACGGGUAGCCGGCCUGAGAGGGCGACCGGCCACACUGGGACUGAGACACGGCCCAGACUCCUACGGGAGGCAGCAGUGGGGAAUAUUGCACAAUGGGCGCAAGCCUGAUGCAGCGACGCCGCGUGAGGGAUGAAGGCCUUCGGGUUGUAAACCUCUUUCAGCAGGGAAGAAGCGCAAGUGACGGUACCUGCAGAAGAAGCGCCGGCUAACUACGUGCCAGCAGCCGCGGUAAUACGUAGGGCGCAAGCGUUGUCCGGAAUUAUUGGGCGUAAAGAGCUCGUAGGCGGUUUGUCGCGUCUGCUGUGAAAACUCGAGGCUCAACCUCGGGCUUGCAGUGGGUACGGGCAGACUAGAGUGCGGUAGGGGAGACUGGAAUUCCUGGUGUAGCGGUGGAAUGCGCAGAUAUCAGGAGGAACACCGAUGGCGAAAGGCAGGUCUCUGGGCCGCAACUGACGCUAGGAGCGAAAGCAUGGGGGAGCGAACAGGAUUAGAUACCCUGGUAGUCCAUGCCGUAACGUUGGGCACUAGGUGUGGGGCUCAUUCCACGAGUUCCGUGCCGCAGCAAACGCAUUAGGUGCCCCGGCCUGGGGGAGUACGGCCGCAAGGCUAAAACUCAAAGUA
rnacentral:rRNA from 1 species